rnacentral:rRNA from 1 species
UACACUCCUACGGGAGGCAGCAGUGGGGAAUUUUGGACAAUGGGCGAAAGCCUGAUCCAGCAAUGCCGCGUGAGUGAAGAAGGCCUUCGGGUUGUAAAGCUCUUUUGUCAGGGAAGAAACGGUGAAAGCUAAUAUCUUUUGCUAAUGACGGUACCUGAAGAAUAAGCACCGGCUAACUACGUGCCAGCAGCCGCGGUAAUACGUAGGGUGCAAGCGUUAAUCGGAAUUACUGGGCGUAAAGCGUGCGCAGGCGGUUUUGUAAGUCUGAUGUGAAAUCCCCGGGCUCAACCUGGGAAUUGCAUUGGAGACUGCAAGGCUAGAAUCUGGCAGAGGGGGGUAGAAUUCCACGUGUAGCAGUGAAAUGCGUAGAUAUGUGGAGGAACACCGAUGGCGAAGGCAGCCCCCUGGGUCAAGAUUGACGCUCAUGCACGAAAGCGUGGGGAGCAAACAGGAUUAGAUACCCGUGUAGUCCCAUGA